CUGNCGGCGUGCUUAACACAUGCAAGUCGAACGNNGAAGCUUGGUGCUUGCACUGGGUGGAUGAGUGGCGAACGGGUGAGUAAUACGUGAGUAACCUGCCCUUGACUCUGGGAUAAGCCUGGGAAACUGGGUCUAAUACUGGAUAUGACCUCCUGUCGCAUGGUGGGGGGUGGAAAGGGUUUGUACUGGUUGUGGAUGGGCUCACGGCCUAUCAGCUUGUUGGUGGGGUAAUGGCCUACCAAGGCGACGACGGGUAGCCGGCCUGAGAGGGUGACCGGCCACACUGGGACUGAGACACGGCCCAGACUCCUACGGGAGGCAGCAGUGGGGAAUAUUGCACAAUGGGCGCAAGCCUGAUGCAGCGACGCCGCGUGAGGGAUGACGGCCUUCGGGUUGUAAACCUCUUUCAGCACGGAAGAAGCGAAAGUGACGGUACGUGCAGAAGAAGCGCCGGCUAACUACGUGCCAGCAGCCGCGGUAAUACGUAGGGCGCAAGCGUUGUCCGGAAUUAUUGGGCGUAAAGAGCUCGUAGGCGGUUUGUCGCGUCUGCUGUGAAAGCCCGGGGCUUAACCCCGGGUGUGCAGUGGGUACGGGCAGACUUGAGUGCAGUAGGGGAGACUGGAACUCCUGGUGUAGCGGUGAAAUGCGCAGAUAUCAGGAAGAACACCGAUGGCGAAGGCAGGUCUCUGGGCUGUUACUGAC
rnacentral:rRNA from 1 species